rnacentral:rRNA from 1 species
AACGUAGGAGGCGAGCGUUAUCCGGAUUUACUGGGCGUAAAGCGCACGCAGGCGGCUUCGUUAGUCGGACGUGAAAGCUCCUGGCUUAACUGGGAGAGGCCGUUCGAUACUGCGAGGCUUGAGGUUGGGAGAGGGGUGUGGAAUUCCCGGUGUAGUGGUGGAAUGCGUAGAUAUCGGGAGGAACACCUGUGGCGAAAGCGGCACCCUGGCCCACACCUGACGUUGAGGUGUGAAAGCGUGGGUAGCAAACAGG